GACGAACCGUGCUAACGUUUUUCGGAUUCACUGGGCUUAAAGGGCGCGUAGGCGGCCAACUAAGUCAGACGUGAAAUCCCACGGCUUAACCGUGGAACUGCUGGGUAUACUGGGUGUCUUGAGCCACUCAGGGGCUACCGGAACAAACGGUGGAGCGGUGAAAUGCGUAGAUAUCGUUUGGAACGCCAAUGGUGAAAACAGGUAGCUGGGGGUGUGCUGACACUGAGACACGAAAGCCAGGGGAGCAAACGGG
rnacentral:rRNA from 1 species